GACGAACACUGGCGGCGUGCCUAAUACAUGCAAGUCGAACGCAUUUUCUUUCACCGUAGCUUGCUACACCGAAAGAAAAUGAGUGGCGAACGGGUGAGUAACACGUGGGUAACCUGCCCAUCAGCGGGGGAUAACACUUGGAAACAGGUGCUAAUACCGCAUAAUUCCAUUUACCGCAUGGUAGAUGGAUGAAAGGCGCUUUUGCGUCACUGAUGGAUGGACCCGCGGUGCAUUAGCUAGUUGGUGGGGUAACGGCCUACCAAGGCUGCGAUGCAUAGCCGACCUGAGAGGGUGAUCGGCCACACUGGGACUGAGACACGGCCCAGACUCCUACGGGAGGCAGCAGUAGGGAAUCUUCGGCAAUGGACGCAAGUCUGACCGAGCAACGCCGCGUGAGUGAAGAAGGUUUUCGGAUCGUAAAACUCUGUUGUUAGAGAAGAACAAGGAUGAGAGUGGAAAGUUCAUCCCUUGACGGUAUCUAACCAGAAAGCCACGGCUAACUACGUG
rnacentral:rRNA from 1 species